rnacentral:rRNA from 1 species
AAAGAAGCAGAGGGGGCUUAGUGGUGGGGUGACUGCGUACCUUUUGUAUAAUGGGUCAGCGACUUAUAUUCUGUAGCAAGGUUAACCGCAUAGGGGAGCCGGAGGGAAACCGAGUCUUAAUUGGGCGUUAAGUUGCAGGGUAUAGACCCGAAACCCGGUGAUCUAGCCAUGGGCAGGUUGAAGGUUGGGUAACACUAACUGGAGGACCGAACCGACUAAUGUUGAAAAAUUAGCGGAUGACCUGUGGCUGGGGGUGAAAGGCCAAUCAAACCGGGAGAUAGCUGGUUCUCCCCGAAAGCUAUUUAGGUAGCGCCUCGUGAAUUCAUCUCCGGGGGUAGAGCACUGUUUCGGCUAGGGGGCCAUCCCGGCUUACCAACCCGAUGCAAACUGCGAAUACCGGAGAAUGUUAUCACGGGAGACACACGGCGGGUGCUAACGUCCGUCGUGAAGAGGGAAACAACCCAGACCGCCAGCUAAGGUCCCAAAGUCAUGGUUAAGUGGGAAACGAUGUGGGAAGGCCCAGACAGCCAGGAUGUUGGCUUAGAAGCAGCCAUCAUUUAAAGAAAGCGUAAUAGCUCACUGGUCGAGUCGGCCUGCGCGGAAGAUGUAACGGGGCUAAACCAUGCACCGAAGCUGCGGCAGCGACACUAUGUGUUGUUGGGUAGGGGAGCGUUCUGUAAGCCUGCGAAGGUGGCCUGUGAGGGUUGCUGGAGGUAUCAGAAGUGCGAAUGCUGACAUAAGUAACGAUAAAGCGGGUGAAAAGCCCGCUCGCCGGAAGACCAAGGGUUCCUGUCCAACGUUAAUCGGGGCAGGGUGAGUCGACCCCUAAGGCGAGGCCGAAAGGCGUAGUCGAUGGGAAACGGGUUAAUAUUCCCGUACUUGGUGUUACUGCGAAGGGGGGACGGAGAAGGCUAUGUUGGCCGGGCGACGGUUGUCCCGGUUUAAGCGUGUAGGUGUGUGUUCCAGGUAAAUCCGGUU